ensembl:miRNA
UGGGUUGGCCAAAAAGUUCGUUCGGGUUUUUCUGCAACCUCUUAUGGAAAACCCCAAACGAACUUUUUGACCAACUCA